GCAGCUGACCAGACAGUCGCCGCUUCGUCGUCGUCCUCCUUCGGGGGGAGACGGGCGGAGGGGAGGAAAGUCCGGGCUCCAUAGGGCAAGGUGCCAGGUAACGCCUGGGGGGUGUCACAGCCCACGACCAGUGCAACAGAGAGCAAACCGCCGAUGGCCCGCGUAAGCGGGAUCAGGUAAGGGUGAAAGGGUGCGGUAAGAGCGCACCGCGCGGCUGGUAACAGUCCGCGGCACGGUAAACUCCACCCGGAGCAAGGCCAAAUAGGGGUUCAUAAGGUACGGCCCGUACUGAACCCGGGUAGGCUGCUUGAGCCAGUGAGCGAUUGCUGGCCUAGAUGAAUGACUGUCCACGACAGAACCCGGCUUAUCGGUCAGUUUCACCU
rnacentral:RNase_P_RNA from 1 species